rnacentral:lncRNA from 1 species
AUGGGAAAGACUAGAGAUCACUUCAAGAAAAUGAGAGAUACCAAGGGAACAGUUUAUGCAAAGAUGGGCACAAUUAAGGACAGAAAUGGUAUGGACCUAACAGAAGCAGAAGAUAUUAAGAAGAGGUGGCAAGAAUACACAGAAGAACUGUACAAAAAAGAUCUUCACGACCCGGAUAAUCAAGAUGGUGUGAUCACUCAUCUAGGGCAGGACAUCCUGGAAUGUGAAGUCAAAUGGGCCUUAGAAAGCAUCACUACGAACAAAGCUAGUGGAGGUGAUGGAAUUCCAGUUGAGCUAUUUCAAAUCCUGAAAGAUGAUGCUGUGAAAGUGCCAUACUCAACAAGCCAGCAAACUUGGAAAACUCAGCAGUGGCCACAGGACUGGAAAAGGUCAGUUUUCAUUCCAAUCCCUAAGAAAGGCAAUGCCAAAGAAUGCUCAAACUACAGCACAAUUACACUCAUCUCACAUGCUAGUAAAGUAAUGCUCAAAAUUCUCCAAGCCAGGCUUGAACAAUAUGUGAACCAUGAACUUCCUGAUGUUCAAGCUGGUUUUAGAAAAGGCAGAGGAACCAGAGAUCAAAUUGCCAACAUCCACUGGAUCAUGGAAAAAGCAAGAGAGUUCCAGAAAAACAUCUAUUUCUGCUUUAUUGACUAUGCCAAAGCCUUUGACUGUGUGGAUCACAAUAAACUGUGGGAAAUUCUGAGAGAGAUGGGAAUACCAGACUACCUGACCUGCCUCUUGAGAAAUCUGUAUGCAGGUCAGGAAACAACAGUUAGAACUGGACAUGGAACAACAGACUGGUUCCAAAUAGGAAAAGGAGUCCGUCAAGGCUGUAUAUUGUCACCCUGCUUAUUUAACUUAUGUGCAGAGUACAUCAUGAGAAACGCUGGACUGGAAAAUACACAACCUGGAAUCAAGAUUGCCGGGAGAAGUAUCAAUAACCUCAGAUAUGCAGAUGACACCACUGUUAUGGCAGAAACUGAAGAGGAACUAAAAAGCCUCUUGAUGAAAGUGAAAGAGGAGAAUGAAAAAGUUGGCUUAAAGCUCAACAUUCAGAAAACGAAGAUCAUGGCAUCUGGUCCCAUCACUUCAUGGGAAAUAGAUGGGGAAACAGUGGAAACAGUGUCAGACUUUAUUUUGGGGGGCUCCAAAAUCACUGUAGAUGGUGAUUGCAGCCAUGAAAUUAAAAGACACUUACUCCUUGGAAGGAAAGGUAUGACCAACCUAGAUAGCAUAUUCAAAAGCAGCGACAUUACUUUGCCGACUAAGGUCCGUCUAGUCAAGGCUAUGGUUUUUCCUGUGGUCAUGUAUGGAUGUGAGAGUUGGACUGUGAAGGCUGAGUGCUGA